GUCGAUAAACUGAAGAACUGGUUUGCCAGUAACUACCUCAGCACAGGCGCAGGUGUUGUCACAAUGUUUAUCAUACAGUUUAUUUGUCUGUCCAUCUCCAUCCCCCUGUUCUGCCACUUCAAGAGACAUGGGCUGGGUUACCAAUGAGAAGGAGCCAAAUCAAAAAGGAGCCGUUUCAAGCUGUAUCACAUUUUUAUUCAUCAGACUGGAAUCUGCCAAAGUGUUGAUAUUAGGAUGCCAUAUAUUUUCCAAAAGGAAGUCAUCUGAAGAAAAAGCCCUUGAGCUCUUUUUCUGUACUUGUACAGUCAGUGUAAACCAUCUUCAAUCAUCAAUUUUCUUUUUUGACUGUGCUUGAUUAGAGCAACCUCGAAGUACUAUUAAACUCCUCUGUGCUGUUUAACGUAAAGGUCACAUAUUAUACACAAUACACUUCACUAUGUUUUUCUAACACUACCAUGUCCCCUAGUCUGUCUACAAACCCCCCAAUUAUGAGAAAAAUCCAUCCUCCUCAUCUUUUACCUGCUCCACCUUUCCGGAAAAUGUGUGCUCAAACAGGUGGGUGACACUCCCACAGCUAGGUGUUUGUUCUGCCCUCUGAGUCUGCCUUCUCACCGUGAACAAUAGGACAUGGAGCGAGAAAGCCCGAGCCAUCCGAGCCCUUCCAGAGAGGGGACGUGGUCAGACACAGCUCAUUUACAUAUUUAAAUGUUCAGACACAGAAACAGCCUGUUCUACGCAGGGCUGAAAUAAAGCCUUUUCACACAUACUCUCCUGAAAAACUCUGGAGAUUAGGCUACCUGGAUGGGCUUUAGGUUAUAUGUGACCGCAAACAGCUGAAUUUUUCGCGCAGACUUUACCCGGAGUUUCUCCGGCCAGACAUCUAGUAUUUUUUCCACAGAAAGUCCAAGUGAGUUGAUGUCUGAACGCGGCAGCAUAUACUCCGGAGGACUCACCUCACUAUGAUCUCCAUGAACGUAAUUAAACGGCUUCAUUAUGUUUUCUGUUCAUCAGUAAGUUGUUCUCCACUCUUUUGUGGAUGUUGUCAUUUCAUUGGACUACAAAGACAAGACAAAUAUUCUCAUUAUAGCGUCGUGUAGUGGACUCUGUUGCUCCGCCCGCUACUUCCGCGUUGUUUAUUUACGUCAUGUCUUAAGUCAGGAAAUCCCCUGCGGCCCCUUCCCUCUGACAGGGAAAGUCCCCCGCUGUGAGGAGUAUAUGUGAACAGCUAGGUCAGGAGAAUUUCCGGAGCAGUCCUCCUGAAAUUAUCUAGAUAUUAUCCAGAGAGCAUAUAUGAAAACGGCUAUUGAGGGGUAUGACCAUCACCAAAUACAGGAUCAGAGUGGAUUUAGAACAAGAAACUUCACACAGCUGUGGGUGCUCUGAGACUUAAUUAAACUGGUUGAAGAGGAGGAUACUAUGUGACCUUUAAGAAACACAAAUGCACAUACUGGUCUGCCCCACUAUACUUUUGAUCUGCUUCUAUUUGUAUGAUGUUUUUUUCUGGUGUUCUGCGAUGGAUUCAAGUCCGAGCCACAGAUCACUGUUAUCUUUAAGAUUCCCUCGAUGUAAGACAUUAUACUUUAUUUUGAGAAGGCUUUUUCAGCAGGUAAAGUACCAGCUUCGUUUGUUUUAUUUUUAUGCCAAGGGUUGUCUCUAGAAAAGCACACACAAAACAUUUCCAAAUCAAACUGAAAUAUAGCCCUUAUACUUCAUUUUGAAAUUAUUGAAUUCAGUUUGGCUGCUUCUCAUCUUCAUUACCAGUCUAAGUUAUCAAUCAGCUUAUUCAUGAGGAUUUGGUUAUAAGGUAGGCUAACUAACAUCUCCUGCUAUGGCUCUUAUUGGACCGCUAAUGCUGUAUCAUUCUUUUUCUUUUGCAAUUAUCAUCAUGUUUUAUUAAUAUGUAGAUUUUUGUAAUGAUACUUCCUGUUAACAAGGAACAAAAUAUCUGUUCUUCAUCAGUUCCAUUAACACUGCCAGCAGAGGGAGAUGAGCUGCAUUAACUUCUAAAGCUACAGCGAGCAGCUGGGACUGUUUUAUAACCAUAGUGUUGUGUUGUAUAAUGAGUUGUAUAUAAUUAAUUUUAAUUAAAAGUUAAACCACUUGUUCCUGUUCAGGUAGACCUUUUCUGACAGGAUGUUCAAACUCUUGAAUGGCGUUAAUGGUUUCUUGGCACUUCCAACAUUUGGCGCAGUAGUUAAGGGAAAUGUACCAUAAUUAAUAAAAUCAGGAGUGUCCUAUCAAUUAUGUCAAAAUGAUGUAAUUUUAAUAAAAAUCUGAAAUGAUUUGAAAA